CAGAGGAGUUUGCCCACACCAGUGCUGCUCAGGGAAUGUGCAGUUUGAUGACCACAAAAGCCCAUAUUCAAAUUCAAUCAACAGUAGGUAAAAUGUCUGAGAAUUACACUGCAUGGUAUACUAUGCAUCUGUGACCCAAGAAUCUGAUUUUAAAUGAAAGAUACUAAAGGAUAUGAAAGUGUGAACAGUUCUGCAGUGGCCGUUUGAAAAGUGUCUCUGUCAUCCUAAUGACAGAGGCCUCCUGAUGAUCAGAUCAUCCUGAAGAGAGUCCAUGUGCUUGUCAGCCUCUUCAAGCAGAGUUGAUGGCUCACACCAACAACAUUCGAAGUGGCAAGUGGUAUUGCUCCUCUUGUAACCAUGCUACUCCAAGUUGUGGCUCUAGAGAUGUUUUUUCUAGCCUUACGUUUCACAGUCUUCUGAAAGAAGUCUUCAAAUCACAAGCAAGGUGCAGGAGGAUUACUGCUUCUCAAUUGGCUAUUUCUGCCCUCAGAAAAGCAUGGUGGAGGUUAUAUUUGCAGCCUUGAGCCUCAAAAAGACUCCCUUUGUGUCUGUAUACACAUUUAAAGGCUUUGAAUAUUUUACCUAUGUCCUCUAGAGCCAGAAAAUGUAACUAAUAAAAUAAUCUAAAU